UACAGAGGUCUCAAGCGUUGUUCGGAUUCAUUGGGCGUAAAGGGCGCGUAGGCGGUGCGGUAAGUCACCUGUGAAAUCCCCGGGCUUAACCCGGGGCCUGCAGGCGAAACUGCCGUGCUGGAGUAUGGGAGAGGUGCGUGGAAUUCCCGGUGUAGCGGUGAAAUGCGUAGAUAUCAGGAGGAACACCGGUGGCGAAGGCGGCCCUCUGGACGGAUACUGACGCUGAGACGCGACAGCGUGGGGGAGCAAACAGG
rnacentral:rRNA from 1 species